CUUGUGGACUGUUAUAUCAAAUGAAAGUAGAUUUUUCGUAGUUUACGAAGUUGAAAUCAGACAGAUUGAAGCAAGAA
rnacentral:sRNA from 12 species